rnacentral:misc_RNA from 1 species
CGGUAGACAUGGCACCGUUGGAAAAAAAGCCUCGUCAGGGCCCCUCUCCUUAUAGUAGAGAUGCUUCAAUGGGAACUUAUGGUACAAAUGCGCAAACACAACAAUCUAUGGUUACAAAGGUCACCCAAAACAUGCAGAUUCCUCUGUCCUAUGCUGAUGCUGUUAUCGGGACAUCUGGUUCAAAUAUUAGCUAUAUCCGUCGGGCCAGUGGUGCGUCUAUUGCAAUUCAAGAAACAAGGGAUGUUCCUGGUGAGAUGACCGUUGAGAUAACUGGAUCUGCAUCACAGGUGCAAACAGCUCAGCAAUUAAUUCAGAAUUCUGUUGCUGAUGCUGCCAGCUCAAUG